AAGAAAAUAUUACACUAUAGGGCAGUUUUCCACUUUCUAAUAACACUAUAAGACAUUUUCUGCUACUCACACACUUUCUCUUCCCCCAAUACACGUUCCACCUCUUCUGAUUCAUAAAACAAUUGAAAUCUAACUGAAGCUUAACUAAAUAAUUAAAUAAUAUUUGUUUUUAAUCUUUUUAAUAUAAUAACUUAUGGUUUCUCUCUCUCUCUCUCUAUCUAUCUCUCUCCUACCAUCAGAUUCCUCCACUUCAAACAUCAAAAACAUAGCUUUUCCUUCAAAUCCAACCCACCUCUUUAUUGCAACUAAGAAAUCAUUCAUCUUGGCAUUUCAAACUUAUCACCGAACUCCUCCACCGCUCUAGCACCUUCCGACGUUGCCGCUCUCGAUUCAUAUAACAUGUCUCUUAUCCAUCAUAUUGAUUUUGGUGGACCAAUCUCUCCGUUUUUGUUGGUGAUCUGAAUUUCAAGGCAACCGAGUUAACUCGGUUUAUCCAGUUGGCUCUGUUUACUGAGUCACCUGAGCGAGUCGACCAGUGACUAUUAUUUCUGGAUAUUAGGAAGAUUUCCCUAAUUUUGAGAAGCUAUGCGACGAGGACAAGAUCAUGGACUUUUACAAGAAGAUGUUGAUUGAAUGGAAGCAAGAGCUUGAUGUUGCAGAGAACCACAUGUACUAUGGUCGUCAUCCACAAAACCAGUGUACAUGUGGAUAACAUUAAAACAUUGUACACAUUGAAUGUUGGUUUAAUUUCUAGCUGCUCUUUUUCGGUUAUGUCUAUUUCUUUGUUAUUUUAGUUUCAAUGCAACAAUAAAUAAUCCAUCUCAAAAUAUUUAUACUCCGUAA